rnacentral:rRNA from 1 species
AGGGCACCACCAGGAGUGGAGCCUGCGGCUUAAUUUGACUCAACACGGGGAAACUUACCCGGCCUGGACACUGGAAGGAUUGACAGAUUGAGAGCUCUUUCUUGAUUCAGUGGGUGGUGGUGCAUGGCCGUCCUUAGUUGGUGGAGCGAUUUGUCUGGUUAAUUCCGAUAACGAACGAGACUCUAGCCUAUUAAAUAGGCUCCCGGCUUUUAAACGCCGGGAGGACUUCUUAGAGGGACAGGUGGCGGUUCAGCCGCACGAAAGAGAGCAAUAACAGGUCUGUGAUGCCCUUUGUUGUCCGGGGCCGCACGCGCGCUACACUGAAGAGAUCAGCGUGCUUUAUGUUCCUGCUCCGACCGGAGUGGGGAACCCAGUGAACCUUCUUCGUGAUUGGGAUAGAAGAUUGUAAUUAUUCUUCUUGAACGAGGAAUUCCCAGUAAAUGCGAGUCAUAAGCUCGCGUCGAUUACGUCCCUGCCCUUUGUACACACCGCCCGUCGCUACUACCGAUUGAACGAUUU